rnacentral:lncRNA from 1 species
GCGUGAAGAUGAUUUUCCGACAUUUAUUCAACAGUGGGAAUAACGUGACUUUCCUAAUCCUAUAGUUGAGAAACCAUUUUCAAAAGUAUGCAUGUUCUUGGUAUAGCGUUAAACUCUAUUAAAUGGUUUUUCCAACACUUGCGCUUUAUUUUGUGUUACAUACCCAUUUGGUAAUUUAUUGGAACGUAGAUAUAUUUUUCUGGAUUUAUUUGGAAUUUAUUUGACGUUCAUAUGCACUAAAAACUUAUUUGAAAUAUUUUAUUCCAUGAGAAAAUUACUUUUCUUGCGUUCUAAACAGUUAAUAAAAAGCAUUCCUGGAAUUUUUUGGAAUUUUUUCGAUGCCGUUUGAUAUUUUAUUUGCCUUAUUUGAUUUUCUGGCGAUUUAGAAACCCAAAAAAGCAAUUUCUUUAUUUGUUUUUUUUUUCUUCCGCGGAGUACGUUUUCUCUACAUGGAGGCGUAUUUGAAAGGGCAUUUCUCUCGUAGUUAAUUUUGGUGGUGAUGACAACGUGUGUUGUGGACUAAUCGUGCGUUAAGUAUUUCAGAUUUGAUAUCAAAUGGUGCAAAACGAUUCGAUGUCCUCAAGUUGGAAAAUGAAGAGUAGUGGAGUUUUAGCGGCUUUUUCGGUUAUUGAGUCAUAGGAACUCCGUACUAUUAAGAGGGAGUCCACAUGGAAAGGUAAUGGGUGAAUCGCUUUUCACAUACACAAAAAAACAUCUUACAUCCACAUAAAGCCUACCCAAAAAGUGAGAGAGAACCAACUCUAGAGCCUAACUGGUGUGCAUUUGUGUAACGUCCCAAAAUUUCAAACCUUUACAUGAGCAUUGCAUUCAUAAACAUCAUGCCACAAUUUCAUAUUUUAAUUCAAAUUUUGAAUCUCAAAAGGCUUUGGAAAGAUUCUUUAUUUCAUUUUAAACCCUAGGGUUUACACCCAUUUGAGCUUUGGAUCUUCAAACCAUUAAAGUUUAUAUAUAAAAGGGGUUUAGUGCACAUAUGAGCUAUCCCAUAAUUUUUGGAUAAUUGUUUGGAGUUGAAAAAGUAUUUUAUUUAAACAGAUAUAUGGCCCUAAAGGCAUUUAUAGGGCAAAUGUAUUUUUACAUAUUUUAUUUUGAAGAGAAACUACUUCUAAAAGUUGUAUCUUGGUAGAACAUGAUUUUACAAAUUUUCUGGAAUUUGUUUGGACCAAUUUGGAGUUCAAACACAAAAGAUAUCAAAGAAAUGGGAAAAACAGAAAAAGAAAAGGCCUAAAAGAAAAAAAAAAGGUAAACCGGACCGGCCCGGCCAAAAUGGGGCGAACCGGCCCAGUCCAACCGCGCCCGACCGGCCCAGACCGCCCGGUCCGCGCGCGCGCGCCCGCAGUCGCUGACAGGUGGGGUCCACCUGUCAGCUGCGUCUUCCCCGAAGGAAAGCGCCGUCGGUCACGCGCGCGAUUUCUGGCCGCCGUCCCCGCGCGCCCGCCGCCGCAAUCUCCUCCUCCGGCCUUCCAUUUUCACGCCCGAGCACGUCUAUAUAACCCCCCG